AUUGAACGCUGGCGGAAUGCUUUACACAUGCAAGUCGAACGGCAGCACGGGGGCAGCCCUGGUGGCGAGUGGCGAACGGGUGAGUAAUACAUCGGAACGUGCCCGGUCGUGGGGGAUAACGUAGCGAAAGUUACGCUAAUACCGCAUACGAUCUGAGGAUGAAAGCGGGGGACCUUCGGGCCUCGCGCGAUCGGAGCGGCCGAUGUCAGAUUAGGUAGUUGGUGGGGUAAAGGCCUACCAAGCCGACGAUCUGUAGCUGGUCUGAGAGGACGACCAGCCACACUGGGACUGAGACACGGCCCAGACUCCUACGGGAGGCAGCAGUGGGGAAUUUUGGACAAUGGGCGCAAGCCUGAUCCAGCCAUUCCGCGUGCAGGACGAAGGCCUUCGGGUUGUAUACUGCUUUUGUACGGAACGAAAAGGCUCUGGCUAAUACCUGGGGCUCAUGACGGUACCGUAAGAAUAAGCACCGGCUAACUACGUG
rnacentral:rRNA from 1 species